GUUACCUAAAGAUUAUCGAGAAAAGCGGCUACCAGGCUCUUCCAUGUGUGAGAUACAUAACCAUGGCCGGCGAGUAUGAACUAAGACUUAUGUGAAAAUCUACUUCCACCUGUUGGUGUUCUCAAUCUCUACAAACUCGCAUGAUUUUGCACUUUCGUGGGCAAAAUGAGCCUAUAGGAGAGUUAAAUUGCCCCUAUCCAGACAAAUAGCUAAUUGAGCAAAUUCUUGUGCGUCCGUUUUCUUUGUUGAAGUCAUUGUUGAUUAUCAACCAGAGGUACGCAUCUUUUGGACCCGAAUAUGCCUACCCACAGGGUGUCUACAAUCCUCACAUGGGUCAGCAUUACCUUCAAAUAUAUGGCGUACCAAGCACAGUUAACACAAAUAUUGUCCCAUAUGGACAAAUGGGUCAUCCU